CUCCGUAGGUGAACCUGCGGAGGGAUCAUUACAUG
rnacentral:rRNA from 1 species